GACGUAGGGGGCGAGCGUUGUCCGGAUUCAUUGGGCGUAAAGCGCGCGUAGGCGGCCCGGUAAGUCGGAUGUGAAAUCUCACGGCUCAACCGUGGAACUGCAUUCGAAACUGUCGGGCUAGAGGCAGGUAGGGGAGAUCGGAAUUCCCGGUGUAGCGGUGAAAUGCGCAGAUAUCAGGAAGAACACCCGUGGCGAAGGCGGCUCUCUGGGACGGUACUGACGCUGAGACGCGAAAGCGUGGGGAGCGAACAGG
rnacentral:rRNA from 1 species